rnacentral:rRNA from 1 species
AGUGAACGCUGGCGGUAGGCCUAACACAUGCAAGUCGAACGGCAGCACAGUAAGAGCUUGCUCUUACGGGUGGCGAGUGGCGGACGGGUGAGGAAUACAUCGGAAUCUACUUUUUCGUGGGGGAUAACGUAGGGAAACUUACGCUAAUACCGCAUACGACCUACGGGUGAAAGCAGUGGAUCUUCGCACCUUGCGCGAUUGAAUGAGCCGAUGUCGGAUUAGCUAGUUGGCGGGGUAAAGGCCCACCAAGGCGACGAUCCGUAGCUGGUCUGAGAGGAUGAUCAGCCACACUGGAACUGAGACACGGUCCAGACUCCUACGGGAGGCAGCAGUGGGGAAUAUUGGACAAUGGGCGCAAGCCUGAUCCAGCCAUACCGCGUGGGUGAAGAAGGCCUUCGGGUUGUAAAGCCCUUUUGUUGGGAAAGAAAAGCAGCAGGUUAAUACCCCGCUGUUCUGACGGUACCCAAAGAAUAAGCACCGGCUAACUUCGUG